UACGUAGGGGGCUAGCGUUGUCCGGAAUCAUUGGGCGUAAAGAGCGUGUAGGCGGUCCGGUAAGUCCGCUGUGAAAGUCGGGGGCUCAACCCUCGAAUGCCGGUGGAUACUGUCGGGCUAGAGUGCGGAAGAGGCGAGUGGAAUUCCUGGUGUAGCGGUGAAAUGCGCAGAUAUCAGGAGGAACACCUAUUGCGAAGGCAGCUCGCUGGGACGUGACUGACGCUGAGACGCGAAAGCGUGGGGGAGCAAACAGG
rnacentral:rRNA from 1 species